GCUCCAGUCUGCAGUCCUGCAUGUGGCAUUUUUGUAGCUUAAAAACCAUAGGAUUCGCCUGCAUAUCCCUACAACUUCUCAGAGUCCCGUGGACCAUGACUGGGGAGACAAACUAUGCAGGAAACAGUC
rnacentral:snoRNA from 14 species